GAUGAACGCUGGCGGCGUGCUUAACACAUGCAAGUCGAACGGUGAAGCAGAGCUUGCUCUGUGGAUCAGUGGCGAACGGGUGAGUAACACGUGAGCAACCUGCCCCUGACUCUGGGAUAAGCGCUGGAAACGGCGUCUAAUACUGGAUAUGAGCUGCGACCGCAUGGUCAGCAGUUGGAAAGAUUUUUCGGUCUGGGAUGGGCUCACGGCCUAUCAGCUUGUUGGUGAGGUAAUGGCUCACCAAGGCGUCGACGGGUAGCCGGCCUGAGAGGGUGACCGGCCACACUGGGACUGAGACACGGCCCAGACUCCUACGGGAGGCAGCAGUGGGGAAUAUUGCACAAUGGGCGAAAGCCUGAUGCAGCAACGCCGCGUGAGGGAUGACGGCCUUCGGGUUGUAAACCUCUUUUAGCAGGGAAGAAGCGAAAGUGACGGUACCUGCAGAAAAAGCGCUGGCUAACUACGUG
rnacentral:rRNA from 1 species